CAGAGCAUAGCUAAGCACAGUAUAGCAUCUCUCUUACACCGAGAAGUCACCCGUGCAAACCGGGUUGCCCUGA
rnacentral:tRNA from 1 species